rnacentral:rRNA from 1 species
UACGUAGGGUGCGAGCGUUGUCCGGAAUUACUGGGCGUAAAGAGCUCGUAGGCGGCUUGUCGCGUCGACUGUGAAAUCCCGCGGCCUCAACCGGCGGUCUGCAGUCGAUACGGGCAGGCUAGAGUUCGGUAGGGGAGACUGGAAUUCCUGGUGUAGCGGUGAAAUGCGCAGAUAUCAGGAGGAACACCGAUGGCGAAGGCAGGUCUCUGGGCCGAUACUGACGCUGAGGAGCGAAAGCGUGGGGAGCGAACAGG